rnacentral:lncRNA from 1 species
CAGCCAUGUUGCUCACACAAAGCCUGUUUGGUGGUCUCUUCACACGGACGUGCAUGAAAUUUGGUGCCGUGACUCAGAUCGGGGGACCUCCCUUGGGAGAUCAAUCCCCUGUCCUCCUGCUCUUUGCUCCGUGAGAAAGAUCCACCUACGACCUCAGGUCCUCAGACCGACCAGCCCAAGAAACAAACAUCUCACCAAUUUCAAAUCCGGUAAGCGGCCUCUUUUUACUCUCUUCUCCAACCUCCCUCACUAUCCCUCAACCUCUUUCUCCUUUCAAUCUUGGUGCCACACUUCAAUCUCUCCCUUCUCUUAAUUUCAAUUCCUUUCAUUUUCUGGUGGAGACAAAAGAGACAUGUUUUAUCUGUGAACCCAAAACUCCGGCACCGGUCACGGACUUGGAAGGCAGCAGGGGGCAAGAAGCCCCCAAUUGCUUAUUUCCGCACCCCAACCUCUUAUCUCUGUGCCCCAAUCCCUUAUUUCUGCACCCUGACCUCUUAUCUCUGUGCCCCAAUCCCUUAUUUCUGUGCCCCAACCCCUUCUCUGCUUUUCUGGAGGGCAAGAACCCCCCACCCCUUCUCCGUGUCUCUACUCUUUUGCAAUGCUGCUUGACCCCAAUACAAACUCGACAGUAGUUCAUAGUCAAAGUUAAUGCUCCUUUUUCUUUAUCCCAAAUCGGAUAGCGUUUAGGCUUUUUUUCAUCAAAUAUAAAAAUCCACAGAGCCCCUGGAACUUUGGCUCAAGGCUCUCUGACUGACUCCUUCCCAGAUCUUCUCGGCUUAGCAGCUGAAGACUGACACUGCCCGAUCGCCUCGGAAGCCCCCUAGACCAUCACAGACGCCGAGCUUCCGGUAUUAAAACCUAAUCACCCUUACCCCACUCAAGGCCAAUAUCCCAUCCCGCAGCACACUUUAAAAAGAUUAAAGCACCUUAUCAACCAAAUUGUUGUGCCUAUAAACCCGUCCGACUGAUCUCUCAAACCCAAGCACCUUCUACAAAACAACUCCUUUCCUUCCUAGGCAUGGUUAGCGCGGUCAGAAUUUUUACACAAGAGCCAGGACCACACCCUGUAGCCUUUCUCUCCAAACAACUUGACCUUACUGUUUUAGCCUAGCCCUCAUGUCUGCGUGCAGUGGCUGCCGCUGCUUUAAUACUUUUAGAGGCCCUCAAAAUAAGUAGAGGCCUUUCCUACAGGGUCUGAGAAGGCCACCGCA